rnacentral:rRNA from 1 species
AUUGAACGCUGGCGGCAGGCCUAACACAUGCAAGUCGAGCGAGCGGCGGACGGGUGAGUAAUGUCUGGGAAACUGCCUGAUGGAGGGGGAUAACUACUGGAAACGGUAGCUAAUACCGCAUACCAUCAGAUGUGCCCAGAGGGGUUUAGCUAGUAGGGGGGGUAACGGCUCACCGAGGCGACGAUCCCUAGCUGGUCUGAGAGGAUGACCACCAAAACUGGACCUGAGACACGGUCAGGACUCCUACGGAAGGCAGCAGUGGGGAAUAUUGCACAAGGGGCGCAAGCCUGAUGCGGCCAUGCCGCGUGUAUGAAGAAGGCCUUCGGGUUGUAAGGUACUUUCAGCGGGGAGGCGUUACCCGCAGAAGAAGCACCGGCUAACUACGUGCCAGCCGCCGCGGUAAUAC